rnacentral:ribozyme from 1 species
UGCCUGCACAAAAAGAAUGAGGAAUAGACAGGAGAAAUACCGUACAGCAUAUUACAGGGGACGAUGAAGUUUUUUGUUUGUUUUUUGUUUUGUUUGUGUUUUGUGUGCCUGAAUUGUUCUCGAC